rnacentral:rRNA from 1 species
GAUGAACGCUGGCGGCGUGCCUAAUACAUGCAAGUCGAGCGAACGGACGAGAAGCUUGCUUCUCUGAUGUUAGCGGCGGACGGGUGAGUAACACGUGGAUAACCUACCUAUAAGACUGGGAUAACUUCGGGAAACCGGAGCUAAUACCGGAUAAUAUUUUGAACCGCAUGGUUCAAAAGUGAAAGACGGUCUUGCUGUCACUUAUAGAUGGAUCCGCGCUGCAUUAGCUAGUUGGUAAGGUAACGGCUUACCAAGGCAACGAUGCAUAGCCGACCUGAGAGGGUGAUCGGCCACACUGGAACUGAGACACGGUCCAGACUCCUACGGGAGGCAGCAGUAGGGAAUCUUCCGCAAUGGGCGAAAGCCUGACGGAGCAACGCCGCGUGAGUGAUGAAGGUCUUCGGAUCGUAAAACUCUGUUAUUAGGGAAGAACAUAUGUGUAAGUAACUGUGCACAUCUUGACGGUACCUAAUCAGAAAGCCACGGCUAACUACGUGCCAGCAGCCGCGGUAAUACGUAGGUGGCAAGCGUUAUCCGGAAUUAUUGGGCGUAAAGCGCGCGUAGCGGUUUUUUAAGUCUGAUGUGAAAGCCCACGGCUCAACCGUGGAGGGUCAUUGGAAACUGGAAAACUUGAGUGCAGAAGAGGAAAGUGGAAUUCCAUGUGUAGCGGUGAAAUGCGCAGAGAUAUGGAGGAACACCAGUGGCGAAGGCGACUUUCUGGUCUGUAACUGACGCUGAUGUGCGAAAGCGUGGGGAUCAAACAGGAUUAGAUACCCUGGUAGUCCACGCCGUAAACGAUGAGUGCUAAGUGUUAGGGGGUUUCCGCCCCUUAGUGCUGCAGCUAACGCAUUAAGCACUCCGCCUGGGGAGUACGACCGCAAGGUUGAAACUCAAAGGAAUUGACGGGGACCCGCACAAGCGGUGGAGCAUGUGGUUUAAUUCGAAGCAACGCGAAGAACCUUACCAAAUCUUGACAUCCUUUGACAACUCUAGAGAUAGAGCCUCCCCCUUCGGGGGACAAAGUGACAGGUGGUGCAUGGUUGUCGUCAGCUCGUGUCGUGAGAUGUUGGGUUAAGUCCCGCAACGAGCGCAACCCUUAAGCUUAGUUGCCAUCAUUAAGUUGGGCACUCUAAGUUGACUGCCGGUGACAAACCGGAGGAAGGUGGGGAUGACGUCAAAUCAUCAUGCCCCUUAUGAUUUGGGCUACACACGUGCUACAAUGGACAAUACAAAGGGCAGCGAAACCGCGAGGUCAAGCAAAUCCCAUAAAGUUGUUCUCAGUUCGGAUUGUAGUCUGCAACUCGACUACAUGAAGCUGGAAUCGCUAGUAAUCGUAGAUCAGCAUGCUACGGUGAAUACGUUCCCGGGUCU